GUUGCGGUCAAACGGCCAAGGUUAUUGAAACAAAGAAGUCGUGGCAUUACAAAUAGAUAUAUUACUGUGAAAGUGCGGUGGAUAAUAAAAAGGCCAUUCUUGGGCAAAGAGUAUGGACCAGACCUGCCACCAGUUUGAGCCAGCUGCACGCCUUCAUAAGGUACACCGCGGGAGUGAUUCACCCCGACGAGGUUGUAAUUA